ACGCGCGGAACCUUACCAGGUCUUGACAUCCUCUGACACUCCUAGGGAUAGGACGUUCCCCUUCGGGGGACAGAGUGACAGGUGGUGCAUGGUUGUCGUCAGCUCGUGUCGUGAGAUGUUGGGUUAAGUCCCGCAACGAGCGCAACCCUUGAUCUUAGUUGCCAGCAUUAAGUUGGGCACUCUAAGGUGACUGCCGGUGACAAACCGGAGGAAGGUGGGGAUGACGUCAAAUCAUCAUGCCCCUUAUGACCUGGGCUACACACGUGCUACAAUGGAUGGUACAAAGGGCAGCAAAGCGGUGACGCCGAGCAAAUCCCAUAAAACCAUUCUCAGUUCGGAUUGUAGGCUGCAACUCGCCUACAUGAAGCUGGAAUCGCUAGUAAUCGCGGAUCAGCAUGCCGCGGUGAAUACGUUCCCGGGCCUUGUACACACCGCCCGU
rnacentral:rRNA from 1 species